rnacentral:lncRNA from 1 species
GCAGCCAGGAGAACUUGGACAAUGACACAGAGACCGACUCCUUGGUAUCUGCCCAACGAGAGCGGCCCAGACGGAGGGAUGGCCCUGAGCACGCAGCCCGCCUCAAUGGAACCACAAAGGGCGAGCGGCGACGGGAGCCAGGUGGCUAUGACAGUUCAUCUACCCUCAUGAGCAGCGAGCUGGAGACUACCAGUUUCUUUGAUUCAGAUGAGGAUGACUCCACCAGCAGGUGGGACUUGACUUUCAUAGGAGCAGGGAUGGGAAUGGGGGGAUGGAUGGGUGUGUGUGUAUGUGU